rnacentral:rRNA from 1 species
AUUGAACGCUGGCGGCAGGCUUAACACAUGCAAGUCGAACGAGUGGCGGACGGGUGAGUAAUGUCUGGGAAACUGCCUGAUAGAGGGGGAUAACUACUGGAAACGGUAGCUAAUACCGCAUACCAUCGGAUGUGCCCAGAUGGGAUUAGCUAGUAGGUGGGGUAAAGGCUCACCUAGGCGACGAUCCCUAGCUGGUUUGAGAGGAUGACCAGCAACACUGGAACUGAGACACGGUCCAGACGCCGACGGGAGGCAGCAGUGGGGAAUAUUGCACAAUGGGCGCAAGCCUGAUGCAGCCAGGCCGCGUGUGUGAAGAAGGCCUUCGGGUUGUAAAGUACUUUCAGCGGGGAGGCGUUACCCGCAGAAGAAGCACCGGCUAACUCCGUGCCAGCAGCCGCGGUAAUUC